UUUAUUUUUGCAUUGCAUCAUGUCAUCAUGCCAGCAUGUCAUUUAAUUUUUAAAACUCAUCUAAAUAAAUUGCAUAGAUCUUUUGAUCUAUUUAAAUCGAGGGAAGGGUGACUUCUCUUUAUAACAUAUCCUCCCAAUAUUAGGGAGCUAUAUUAAAUACUUCUUUAAUUUGGAAAUCACCAUAACACACUUGCAAAUUAUCCCAAUGCCUUUGUUAUCUUAAUUCUUGGUCUCCAACCUUGCCAUAUAUUCUUUCAUCAUAUUCCGGAGCUCCACCAAAAAUCCGAACAUUUUUGGACCUUCCCAACCCUCACUUCCUAUUCAAAUCAUUCGAAUUUAAAUCUUGCAAUCCUAUUUUCUUGGAUCAAACUCAUUUUUGUGAGUCCGGGAAAAUUAUCCCCAUGCGCAAAUUCUUUCCCGAACCCUCUUUCCUUUUUCUUCUCUCUAAUAAUUUUCUACUAGGGAAAAUAAGAGAGAGGGAGAAGAGAGCCCAGCAACCCAGCUGGCCAAUUGGGCCUCCCAGCAAGUCAGCCCACCUAUCUAAUCCUAACCCUAGCCCGACCUCCUCCUCACUCCCAUCCAUCUCCAUCUCUCCCUCGUCCUCCCUCCAGCGCCACCAGUGCUCGAUCCUCCCACCUCCUCACUCGAUCCCCAUCUCCUUCCCACAGCGCCGCCAUCCCUCCUGCUCGAUCUCCUCGCUUGCUGGCCUCCACCUCGCCCUUCCUUCUCCCCCGCGUCGCCAUCGCCUCCCUCCGUCGUCCCUAUCGCCCAAGCUCCUCCCUGCAUAGCGUGCCCCCACGCCACCCCGUCGCCGGCGACCCGUCUCCGGCCACCACAAGCGCCACCAGCAGCAGCUUCAGGAGGCUCCCACGCCACCGUCCGCUCCUCCCAUCGCCUCAACCCCUCCACCCGAGCCGCUCCUCCUCACCUUGUCUCCCUCGUCAUGGCUGCCCACGAGGCUCCUGCUGCCGGCGCCUCUUCCUGGCCGGAUCCGUCGUCAUCUCGACCUCCUUCGACGCCAGGACGCGUCCUCUGCAUCGCCAGCCGCCGACGCCAUUCAGAUCGGGUCAUCCCCGACCCCCACGGCCCUACCUCCUCGCCAUGACCCCUCGCAAGCUUCCUCCGACAGCCACCUCCCGCUCACCUCCAUCUCUUCCUCGUGCUCCAGCGACCAUGGCUGCCUCGUCAUCAAGCCCGCCUUCGUCUCCCUGGUGGCCGCCUGCCUCGACCUCCUCUGCAAGGUGAAGCCACGGCUGCGCCAAGUUCCCUGCUUCGCCUCCACAUGCCGCCCGCACACGCUACCAACUGUUGUUGUUGCCUCCGUGGAUCUUCACUUCCUGUGCUCGUGGACAUCAAGACCAAGUACCCCUUCGUUUCGUCAAUACCAGCAAGUUCAGAAGAUCCCAAGUACCACUACGGACCGUGUACCACUACCGUCGCCGUGUACCACUACGCCCAAGUUCCACUGCAAGAUGUACAACUACCGUCGCCACGUGAACAACUACUUCCCACGACGACCCGUGAACGACUACUUCCUCUACUUCGUACCGAACCCGAACCGCUCCGAAAAUGCACGCUUCGAAGGUAUAACACCGAGACGACGCCCGUGAACGAAUCCUUGUGUGUUGUAUGAGAUGCUCGUGUUUGCACCGUGCCCGUUUGCUUCAUGCACGUUCCUAGUAAGCCAUGCCACCGACAUGUGGGACACCCGGUAUCCGAGAUCACCCCACCAUCUUUUGCAUGUUUCGCACAUCCGCACACUUCUCUUUUGCAUCGGUAUCUCAAUCGAGUUACCGGGAUCGAAAUGUUGUCGUGGCACCCGUUUCGUUCCGCCAUGGUGACCAAAUGCUUCAUAUCAUGCUCAUGUUAACAUUUUCAUAAAACUGCAUAAAACUUGCAUAUGUCAUCCGCAUCAUGAUAACAACAUUUAAAUGGUUAAAAUUGUGUUUGCAUUAAAUUGCUAAAUGACAAAUGGGGAUUUUCUUAAUUGUUGUUUGUUGUUCCGGCCUCAUUCAAAAUUGCCUAGAUAGGUAGUUUUAUUAUGCUUCACCCCUUGCCAUGUUUAACAACAUUUAAUAUUGUUGGGUACAUAACCGAGAGAGAACUAAAUAAUUGAUGUGGUGUUUCGUCAAUAUGCAACUCGUUGCAUAUUGAGUUCCACUUAAUUUGUACUAUUGUUUGUUGCACAUUGGAAGGUCAUGCCAGACAUGCAUCAUACUGGUUUGUGCAUCAGGACAUGUUUAUGUGAUGGUUCUUUACCAUGUUGUUUGUUUCUUUCCGGUUUGCUUCUCUCGUUAGCUUCGGUUUCGUUUCGGAGUUGUGAGGAUUCGUUCGACUACGUCCGUUUGUCUUGUUCAUGGACUCGUUCUUCUUCCUAUCGGGAUCUCAGGCAAGAUGACCAUUACCCUCGAUAUCACUUCUAUCUUUGCUUGCUAGUUGCUUCGUUCUAUCGCUAUGCUGCGCUACCUAUCACUUGUUUACCGUGCCUCCCAUAUUGCCAUGUCAACCUCUAACCUUUUUCAUCCUUCCUAGCAAACCAUUGCUUGGCUAUGUUACCGCUUUGCUCAGCCCCUCUUAUAGCAUUGUUAGUUGCAGGUGAAGUUGAAGAUUGCUCCAUGAUGGACAGGAUUAUGUUGGGAUAUCACAAUAUCUCUUAUUUAAUUAAUGCAUCUAUAUAUUUGGUAAAGGGUGGAAGACUCGGCCUUAUGCCUGGUGUUUUGUUCCACUCUUGCCGCCCUAGUUUCCGUCAUACCGAUGUUAUGUUCCUUGAUUUUGCGUUCCUUACACGGUUGGGUGAUUUAUGGGACCCCCUUGACAGUUUGCUUUGAAUAAAACUCCUCCAGCAAGGCCCAACAUUGGUUUUAACAUUUGCUACCUAACCCUUUUUCCCUUGGGUUCUGUAGACUCAAGGGUCAUCUUUAUUUUACCCCCCGGGCCAGUGCUCCUCCGAGUGUUGGUCCAAACUAGAGCACCGUGCCGGACCAUUCCUUGGCAACUUGGAUUACGUCAGUACCUGUACGCUUCGCUUAUCCGAUGUGCCCUGAGAACGAGAUAUGUGCAGCUCCUAUCGGGAUUUGUCGGCACAGUCGGGUGGUCUUGCUGGUCUUGUUUUACCAUUGUCGAAAUGUCUUGUAAACCGGGAUUCCGAGUCUGAUCGGGUCUUCCUGGGAGAAGGAAUAUCCUUCGUUGACCAUGAGAGCUUGUGAUGGGAUAAGUUGGGACACCCCUGCAGGGUAUAAACUUUCGAAAGCCAUGCCCGCGGUUAUGUGGCAGAUGGGAAUUUGUUAAUGUCCGGUUGUAGAUAACUUGACACCAGAUCUGAAUUAAAACGCAUCAACCGCGUGUGUAGCCGUGAUGGUCUCUUUUCGGCGGAGUCCGAGAAGUGAAAACGGUUUUGGGUUAUGUUUGACGUAAGUAGGACUUCAGGAUCACUUCUUGAUCAUUGCUAGCUUCACGACCGUUCCGUUUGCUCUCUUCUCGCUCUUAUUUGCGUAUGUUAGCCACCAUAUCCUGCUUAGUCGCUCCUGCAACCUCACCACCCUACCCCUUCCUUUCCUAUAAGCUUAAAUAGUCUUGAUCUCGCGGGUUUUAAGAUUGCUGAGUCCUCGUGACUCACCAGAUACUAUCACAACAGUUGCAGGUGUCGAUGAUACCAGUGCAGGUGAUGCAACCGAUCUCAGAUGGGAGCUCAACGAAGAUCUUGGUCGUUACUAUGUUUUGUUUCUUGAUGAUCAGUAGUGGAGCCCAGUUGGGACGAUCGGUGAUCUAGCAGUUGGGUUAUCUUCUUUUCUUUUGGCUUCAUCCGUAGUCGGACUAUACGUGUGUAUUCUGAAUGAUGUAUGAAUUAUAUGUUCAUUGUGUGAAGUGGCGAUUGUAAGCCAACUCUUUAUCCCAUUCUUGUUCAUUACAUGGGAUUGUGUGAAGAUGACCCUUCUUGCGACAAAACCACAAUGCGGUUAUGCCUCUAAGUCAUGCUACAACACGUGGGAGAUAUAGCCGCAUCAUGGGUGUUACAAGUUGGUAAUCAGAGCCAUCCCCGACUUAGGAGCCCCCUGCUUGAUUGUUUGCUGGCAUUGUUGAGUCUAGAACAAAAAAAUGUUUUGAGUCUUAGGAUUAUAUAUAUCGGAGAGUAGGAUUCUUUUUACUCCUCAGUCCCUUCGUCGCUCUGGUGAGGUCUCCUGACGUAGAUGUUUUGUCUUUCCUCUCCUCAAUUUUUUUCACUAAAUUUUUUUAGGAUCACGCGGGUAUCUUGGAAUCGUUCCGAUGGUUUUGUGAAGAGAACAUUGUUCUUGGUGCCUCCUGUCUUUUAUGUGGCAGUGUCCCGGGGAGUUGAGCUCCAAGGUGUUGUCGUCAUAAUUUUGAUCGUUGCAGUUCUGGAAUACCUGAGUUUUGCCGACAUCGAAAAUCUCUUUUAUGCAGUUCUUGGUGAGAUAACCUCGACGCCACCCAGUACUGGGGCGGGAGUUCGGGAGUAUUGCCAUAGCUCAUAUAACAGAUGUUUUUCGAAGGUUGAGGUACACGAUUUCCGAAGGUUUCUUGGUUAUGUGUUGACGGAUGGAUACAGCUUGGAUGUAGGUAUUGUUAGUUUGGGUGAGAUAUAUAUUGCUUCCCCUAUAUCCCCAACACCAAAUUGCAUAACCAGAAAGUUUCGGGAGUUUUAUAGGUGGGAAUUCAAGUAGCUCCUAGAAUAUCUUUCCGACAGAUGCAUGAUAUGGGAUUGGGUAAAUCUCUAUCAUAUGUAUUUGUUCCGGCUUAUUCUGCAAGCCAAAUCCUUUGUUUUGUUUUAUUUGUGGUAUUCGAGUUGCUUCGAAGUCAAGUGUUGAUCCAUGCCUUCCCUAAAUGGUGUUCUCAUAUUGCUAUGUGAAUACUAAUCCUUCUUGAUCAUCGAGGUCGUCAUGUCAAUUCUUUCCGACCAGUGUGCUUCUCUUCAAGUGGAUCCGAACAUUUCAACAUUCGCAAGAUCAAUUCUAAGUUUUCUCAACGGUGUUUGUUUCAUCCGUCCCAAGUUGUAUUUGUUUUCCCGCCCUCCCACCCUUUUUCUUCAAGGACUCAAAUUUCUUAAUCAUGUAACAUUUAUUCGUGAGAAGUCUCUUCAUUCUUUUCUUUCAAUGUUCUUAUCCGGUGAUUCUCAGGAAGAUACUAACGGAGCUUCAAGUUUAUCAUUCUUUGUCUCUUUUCUUCUCCGCUGGAUUUAACUCAAGCUUUCAGUGUUGAUCAUAUCCCUUUCCUCGUUUCAAAUGCUAUCCCAUGCCGGUGCAUCUCAUAAUCAUUCACCUCUCCCUAUUCGUAUCUGGAGUGCUAAAGAUAUCUCAGAAGAUUUGUGUUUCCAUUCUCAAUCCGUUCAAUUUAUUUGGAGAUUGUUAUCUCAUUCAAGUCAUUUAAUUCAACCGGUGCAAUCUCUCUUCAAAGUCCUUCAACGAUGUUUCUUUCGAGUGGGCCCUAACCCACAGGUCUUUUCCCAGGAUCUUACCUGACUCCUCUAAUUUUUUUCGGAGCUAUUCCCAAAUUCUUUUCGAAGUUUGACGUAACAAUGAAUCUCAUCAGUCAGAUGUUUUCCAAGAUCGGUUUCAAAUUAUUCUUCAUUGUUGGCCCAACCUCUGUGUUUUUCAUUCUCCCGGAGUAUCUCAUCAAUUAAUGGUGGUGUUUCUCGUCGUCAUUCUUGGAUUUUCAAGCUUGAUGACAUCCGCUCAUAAUUGUUUUCGAUUGUGAGAAUUCCUUUCCCCCAUCCGGAGCAUUUCAUGAGUUGUUUCCAUUUCUUUCCUUCGAAGGCCAUCAUGUCAUAACUCCUCAUUCUCAGCCUUCAGCUCUUGUUCUCCAAAUCUUACCGGUGCAUCGUUCAAAUACCCUCUAAUCAGUUCAUGAUAUCUUCGUUCUCAUGUAUCUAAAUCCCCUCAAGUAUCUUCGUUCAUUUUCUAAUUCUUCCCAAUGUUUCGCUAUCUUUUCUUUGUUUUUUUUUAAUUCUUAUGGUGGUUCGUUCAAGAUUUCACUUCCUUUGUUAUCAUAUCAAUUCAUUCGUUGUUUCCAAAUCCCACAGGUGGUUCCAUCAAUACCUUCUCAAGCUUGCGCUAUAUCUCUUUUAAUCCUUUCUACAGGAAUAAGUAGUAUGCCAAAUCCAUUGCUUGUCAUCAAUUUAAUUUGAUGAAGGAUAAGCAUACAAUAAAUCUUAUUCUUAUUUCCUCGAGGUGAUUCAAUUCUUUUCUUCCGAAGUUUGUUCAUGAUGAAGUAAUUCUUGUUUCUAGUGUUUCAUCUUUUCUUUUUCCGGAGUUCCAAGUUUUCUCGGUUAUAUCAUCAUGAAGCUCCUUCUAAAUCAUCACAAGGCUUCACCUUGUAUUUGCAACUUCUCUUUCUUUCUAUCAUCCUUUUAUUACCGGAGUUCUUCAUGGAGGCUCAAGAUGGUGGUUCAUCAAGGAUUCUUUUCAUUCUUCAAUUGUACUUCAAGAUUUCUCUCGAAGCUAAGAUCCGCCAAGCUAUACUAAAAAAUAAACAUGGUGCUCAACACAUGUUUUGUUUUGAGGAGUUCAAGUAUUCUUCUUCUUGCAUUUUGAAGUGCAAUUCUUUCUACCUUAUCUUUUCAGGUGGUGUUAUAUCAUUCUUGACAAUUUCCAUUCAUGUUUCGCGAUUCACAUGUUGUCAAGAAUAAGGUAUUUUAAAUCCACCAAUCUCUUUGUUGGAGUUAUCUUGGUAUAGAUUUCACCUAAAGCCUUCCCUAAGGAAUGUUGCUAUUGUGGUGCUUAUCAAUGAUCCAAGUUAUCUCUCUAUCAUCUUGGUGGAAGAAAUUUUUUUCAUCUCGUUGGUGUUAUCAAUUAUAUUAUUUGUUUCCGUAGUGGCAGAAUUUCACCUCAAUUUUGAGAAGUUUUCCAUAAGCCCACUACAAGCUUAUUCAUUUUGUUGUUGGUUUUUCCCAACAACUCCGUUAAAUCCUAAUUUGCAAGGAUGCUUUCAAGUUCAUUUGUGGCAAAAGUUGUCAUUUUCUUCUCCAUUCCUUUAUUCCAAUGAUCUAUCUUCUAUUAUUUCUUCCGGAGGCAUUGUGAUGUUGCUCUCGUUGACCCAUCAUCUCAUUUUGCCAAGAUCAUGUUAUUUCUUGCUUAUCCAUUUAACCGGAGUGUUAUGUUCUCUGCUAAGUUCUUUUCAUCUUAUCAAGUCUUGCAUCUCUUUUCAACCGGAGUGCUGUCCGGAUUUGAUCUUCCUUGUUUCUUGUUUAUCUCGUUUCAACCAGAGUGGUUCCAAUUCCUUCUUGUCCAUUAAACUCUUGAUUCAUGCCUUUGCAACCUUCAAGUUCUUGUAAUGUUCCUUGUUCUUUUCUAACGGAUUGUUUGCAAUCUCGUUCAUCUCCUUUGUAUUCUUUCUUUCAAUUUGUUCAACCUCUCAAGGUUCAUGGUUUCACUCAUUUGUCGAAGAAGCAACUUAGUUUUACCUCUUCUCUUCCUUUUACGUUUCUCUCCGGUGCCAUCCUAGAUCUCGGGAUGAGAUCCUCUUGUAGUGGUGGAGUGUUGUGACGCCCCGAGACCGACGAUCCAGAAGACUUCCAUAUUCUUGUGACCUCCGUGUGUUUUUAUUUGUGCUUGCUCUAUUUAUUUUUGCAUUGCAUCAUGUCAUCAUGCCAGCAUGUCAUUUAAUUUUUAAAACUCAUCUAAAUAAAUUGCAUAGAUCUUUUGAUCUAUUUAAAUCGAGGGAAGGGUGACUUCUCUUUAUAACGUAUCCUCCCAAUAUUAGGGAGCUAUAUUAAAUAUUUCUUUAAUUUGGAAAUCACCAUAACACACUUGCAAAUUAUCCCAAUGCCUUUGUUAUCUUAAUUCUUGGUCUCCAACCUUGCCAUAUAUUCUUUCAUCAUAUUCCGGAG
rnacentral:lncRNA from 1 species